GCUCCAUUCGUCUAACGGUUUAGGACGGCUGCCUUUCGAGCAGUAAAUAAGGGUUCGAUUCCCUUAUGGAGUACAA
rnacentral:tRNA from 1 species